rnacentral:rRNA from 1 species
AGUGAACGCUGGCGGUAGGCCUAACACAUGCAAGUCGAACGGCAGCACAGUAAGAGCUUGCUCUUACGGGUGGCGAGUGGCGGACGGGUGAGGAAUACAUCGGAAUCUACUUUUUCGUGGGGGAUAACGUAGGGAAACUUACGCUAAUACCGCAUACGACCUACGGGUGAAAGCAGGGGAUCUUCGGACCUUGCGCGAUUGAAUGAGCCGAUGUCGGAUUAGCUAGUUGGCGGGGUAAAGGCCCACCAAGGCGACGAUCCGUAGCUGGUCUGAGAGGAUGAUCAGCCACACUGGAACUGAGACACGGUCCAGACUCCUAAGGGAGGCAACAGUGGGGAAUAUUGGACAAUGGGCGCAAGCCUGAUCCAGCCAUACCGCGUGGGUGAAGAAGGCCUUCGGGUUGUAAAGCCCUUUUGUUGGGAAAGAAAAGCAGCAGGUUAAUACCCCGCUGUUCUGACGGUACCCAAAGAAUAAGCACCGGCUAACUUCGUG